GGUGAGGAUAGAGGAGCAAAGACCAUCAGUACGCUUACCGAGGAGUAUGGGAUCCGUUGACGUAUGCUGAAAGGGGAAUUUGCCGAAGCGAUGAAAGGCUCAUAACCGCCAUCGCUGGUUCUGCAUUGAAAAAAUGCUGGACUGUCAUAUAGGAAACUAUAUGGAGGGCUAUCUGACAC
rfam:Planomicrobium sp. ES2 genome assembly, contig: CONTIG000001